GACGUAGGGCGCGAGCGUUGUCCGGAUUUAUUGGGCGUAAAGAGCUCGUAGGCGGUUUGUCGCGUCUGCCGUGAAAGUCCGGGGCUCAACUCCGGAUCUGCGGUGGGUACGGGCAGACUAGAGUGAUGUAGGGGAGACUGGAAUUCCUGGUGUAGCGGUGAAAUGCGCAGAUAUCAGGAGGAACACCGAUGGCGAAGGCAGGUCUCUGGGCAUUAACUGACGCUGAGGAGCGAAAGCGUGGGGAGCAAACAGG
rnacentral:rRNA from 1 species